rnacentral:lncRNA from 1 species
ACACAGAGGAGCAUGUACAUUUACCUCCCCAGCACACACACACGCAGAGGAGCAUGUACACAUACCCCCACCCAGCACACACACAGAGGAGUGUGUUAAGCUCACCCCCCCAGCACACACACAGAGGAACAUGUACAUUUAUCCCCCCAGCACACACACACAGAGGAACAUGUACACUUACCCCACCCCCAGCACACACACAGAGGAGUGUGUUAAGCUCACCCCCAGCACACACACAGAGGACCAUGCACACUUACCUCCCCCAGCACACAUGCAGAGGAACAUGUACACUUACCCCUCCAGCACACACACAGAGGAACAUGUACACUUACCCCUCCCCCCCA